AAUUUAUUAACAACUUUUAGUCAAACGGACGGACAAGUUUUUUUGAAGGAAACAAACAAGUUAUUUCGGAUCAACAGCAAUAUGCCACGCAAGUGCAUCAGAAGUUGCAAAGGCUCGUUACGACUUCAUAAAUUUCCGGGAGUGCGGGAAAUGCCCAGGUGAGUAAAGUAUUUCAUUUUAUAUGUUUAUUUAAUAUAUACUAGCUUUUACCGGUUACGUGGUCUCGGUGUGAAAGCGUAACAAACACACUUACAUUCACAUUUAUAUUAUAAUAUUAGUAUGGAACUAUGGAUAUGGAUAUGUAUAUUUCGAUCCCCGUAUUCCGGGUUUAUAAUAAAUCAUGUAAAAGUGUUUAAGUGGAAAAUAGGAAAUUUUCGAUUUGUAUU